AGAGCGAACGCUGGCGGCAGGCCUAACACAUGCAAGUCGAGCGCCCCGCAAGGGGAGCGGCAGACGGGAGAGUAACACGUGGGAACGUACCCUUUGGUUCGGAACAACACAGGGAAACUUGUGCUAAUACCGGAUAAGCCCUUACGGGGAAAGAUUUAUCGCCAAAGGAUCGGCCCGCGUCUGAUUAGCUUGUUGGUGAGGUAACGGCUCACCAAGGCUACGAUCAGUAGCUGGUCUGAGAGGAUGAUCAGCCUCACUGGGACUGAGACACGGCCCAGACUCCUACGGGAGGCAGCAGUGGGGAAUAUUGGACAAUGGGCGCAAGCCUGAUCCAGCCAUGCCGCGUGGAUGAUGAAGGCCCUAGGGUUGUAAAGUCCUUUCGACGGGGAAGAUAAUGACGGUACCCGUAGAAGAGCCCCGGCUAACCUUCGCGCCAGCCAGCCGC
rnacentral:rRNA from 1 species